UUGGCCUUGACAUACUAAGAACUUUCCAGAGAUGGAUUGGUGCCUUCGGGAACUUAGAUACAGGUGCUGCAUGGCUGUCGUCAGCUCGUGUCGUGAGAUGUUGGGUUAAGUCCGCAACGAGCGCAACCCUUUUCCUUAUUUGCCAGCGGGUAAUGCCGGGAACUUUAAGGAUACUGCCAGUGACAAACUGGAGGAGGGCGGGGACGACGUCAAGUCAUCAUGGCCCUUACGGCCAGGGCUACACACGUGCUACAAUGGUCGGUACAAAGGGUUGCUACCUCGCGAGAGGAUGCUAAUCUCAAAAAGCCGAUCGUAGUCCGGAUCGCAGUCUGCAACUCGACUGCGUGAAGUCGGAAUCGCUAGUAAUCGCGGAUCAGAAUGCCGCGGUGAAUACGUUCCCGGGCCUUGUACACACCGCCCGUCACACCAUGGGAGUUUGUUGCACCAGAAGUAGGUAGUCUAACCGCAAGGAGGACGCUUACCACGGUGUGGCCGAUGACUGGGGUGAAGUCGUAACAAGGUAGGCGUAGAUGA
rnacentral:rRNA from 1 species